GGCUAGCUCAAUCGGUAGAGCGUGAGACUCUUAAUCUCAAGGUUGUGGGUUCGACCCGUAAGCAUAAACA
rnacentral:tRNA from 1 species